rnacentral:rRNA from 1 species
UACGAAGGGAGCUAGCGUUGUUCGGAAUCACUGGGCGUAAAGCGCACGUAGGCGGAUGUGUCAGUCAGGGGUGAAAUCCCGGAGCUCAACUUCGGAACUGCCUUUGAUACAGCACGUCUUGAGUCCGAUAGAGGUGGGUGGAAUUCCUAGUGUAGAGGUGAAAUUCGUAGAUAUUAGGAAGAACACCGGUGGCGAAGGCAGCCCACUGGAUCGGUACUGACGCUGAGGUGCGAAAGCGUGGGGAGCAAACAGG